rnacentral:lncRNA from 1 species
GAUUAUUUUAAAGUGUACAUUAUGAUGAACAGAACAAGUUUAUUUAAAUGAAAAACAGGUGAUCUUUCAUGAUGAAUGAGUGUUAUAUACAGGGUGUCCCAAAAGUAGCG